GUCGCUCUGGAUAAGAGCGUCUGCUAAAUGUCGUAAAUGUUUUAAGAGCCAUCCACAUUGCAAUAAGAGUAUUCUUCCAUUGACUUAGCUUCGUUAACUGCAGUUAUUCAAUUCCCAGUUUCUCUCCUUUUGAGUUCUACUUCUCAGGUGAGGAUGUCUGUACAAAAUCAAAACAGGCUCUUUUAAGAGUCACCCAUAUUGAAAACAAUUAGACACCCUAUAACCCACACCUACACACUCAAUCUGAUUGAUGGAUUGUGCAGUAAGCAGGCUCAGGUGUAGAACUGUGGCUCCUUCCACCUCCAAAAGGACAGGCCAGAGGACCAACCAUGGAGAAUAGUUAUAUCAGCUGUGUCGGUGAACCCCUCCCUCAUCUGAACUGGCUACACAGAGGGCACAGCAGGAUCAGAGGUAUGUUUUGAUGGGUGCCAACCUCCAGUCCAGUCCAUCUCACCCGCUCUUAAGAUCACCUUCUGGCCAACUGGGGGCCCAAGGCUGUUAGGAGACACCGCUAG